AUACGGAGGGUCCAAGCGUUGUUCGGAAUCAUUGGGCGUAAAGAGAUCGUAGGUGGUUUAUCAAGUCGGAUGUGAAAUCCCGGGGCUCAACCCCGGAACUGCAUUCGAUACUGGUAGACUUGAGUUCGGGAGGGGGAUGCGGAAUUCCGCGUGUAGCAGUGAAAUGCGUAGAUAUGCGGAGGAACACCAGAGGCGAAGGCGGCAUCCUGGACCGAUACUGACACUGAGGAUCGAAAGCGUGGGUAGCAAACAGGAUUAGAAACCCGAGUAGUCC
rnacentral:rRNA from 1 species